rnacentral:rRNA from 1 species
AAGAGGCAAAACCAGACUGUUUACAGUUUGGGGUUGUGGACCACCGACAUUGACGAAGUUAUGCGAGCCGAAUAGGGUUGGAAAGCUCAAGCAAAGAAGGUAAUACUCCUGUAGGCGAAGCAGAAAGCGCAUAGGUGGCACCAGAGUAGGACCGGACACGUGUAACCCGGUCUGAAGCAGGAGGGACCACCCUCCAAGCCUAAAUACUACCCAGUGACCGAUAGCGAAUAGUACCGUGAGGGAAAGGUGAAAAGAACCCCGGGAGGGGAGUGAAAUAGAAUCUGAAACCUGAUGCUUACAAGCAUAGGGAGCGCAAGUGACCUAGUACUUUUUGUAGAACGGGCCAACGAGUUAUGGUAUGUAGCGAGGUUAAGUUUCUGGAGGAACGGAGCCGUAGAGAAAUCGAGUCUUAAUAGGGCGAGAGUUACAUGCUGUAGACCCGAAACCGGGUGACCUAUCCAUGAGCAGGUUGAAGUAACCGUAAAAGGUUAUGGAGGACCGAACCUAUAUCUGUUGAAAAAGGUUAGGAUGACUUGUGGAUAGCGGUGAAAUUCCAAUCGAACUCGGAUAUAGCUGGUUCUCCUCGAAAUAGCUUUAGGGCUAGCCUCAAGGAAGAGAUACACGGGGGUAGAGCACUGACUGUUCGCGGGGCCUUCACCGGUUACCAACAACUAUCAAACUCCGAAUACCGUGGUAUCAUACUUGGGAGUCAGACUAUGAGAGAUAAGUUCCAUGGUCGAAAGGGAAACAGCCCAGAUCAACAGCUAAGGUCCCAAAGAGUAAGUUAAGUGGAAAAGGAUGUGGGAUUGCACAAACAGCUAGGAUGUUGGCUUAGAAGCAGCCAUACAUUUAAAGAGUGCGUAAUAGCUCACUAGUCGAGUGAUCCUGCGCCGAAGAUAAACGGGGCUGAAACUUACCACCGAAGCUUUGGAAUUAGGGAACUAAUUGGUAGAGGAGCAUUCUAUACAGGAAGAAGGAGGCGCGUAAGCAAAUCUGGACAGUAUAGAAGAGAGAAUGUUGGCAUGAGUAGCGUAAGGCGGGUGAGAAUCCCGUCCGCCGAAAAUCUAAGGUUUCCUGAGGAAGGUUCGUCCUCUCAGGGUAAGUCGGGACCUAAGCCGAGAGCGAACGCUGUAGGCGAUGGACAACAGGUUGAUAUUCCUGUACCACCAAGGAUUGUUUGAAUGAAGUGGGGACACAGAAGGAUAGAUUGAGCACGCCGUUGGUUGAGCGUGUCCAAGCAGUAAGGCUAGAAAGUAGGCAAAUCCGCUUUCUAUAAGGUUGAGCUGUGAUGGGGUGGUCAAAUGACCGGUAGCAAUCGAUUUCACGCUGUCAAGAAAAGCCGCUAAUGAGAUCCAAGGUGCCCGUACCGCAAACCGACACAGGUAGAUGAGGAGAGAAUCCUAAGGUGAGCGAGCGAACUAUUGUUAAGGAACUCGGCAAAAUAACCCCGUAACUUCGGGAGAAGGGGUGCCUGCUUCGGCAGGCCGCAGUGAAGAGGUCCAGGCAACUGUUUACCAAAAACACAGGUCUCUGCUAAAGCGAAAGCUGAUGUAUAGGGGCUGACGCCUGCCCGGUGCUGGAAGGUUAAGGGGAAGUGUUAGGGCAACCGAAGCACAGAACUUAAGCCCCAGUAAACGGCGGCCGUAACUAUAACGGUCCUAAGGUAGCGAAAUUCCUUGUCGGGUAAGUUCCGACCCGCACGAAAGGCGUAAUGAUCUGGACACUGUCUCAACAAUAGGCUCGGUGAAAUUGAAGUACCGGUAAAGAUGCCGGUUACCCGCAGCAGGACGGGAAGACCCCGUGGAGCUUUACUGUAGCUUGAUAUUGAUUUUCGGCAUUGCAUGUACAGGAUAGGUGGGAGACGAAGAAUUCAGCACGCCAGUGUUGAAGGAGUCACCGUUGGGAUACCACCCUUGUAAUGUUGGAAAUCUAACCUAGUACCGUGAACCGGUACAGGGACAGUGUCAGGUGGGCAGUUUGACUGGGGCG